AUCGUUUCUCGGCCUUUUGGCUAUGAGCAAAUGUAGUAUCUGUUCUUAUCAGUUUAAUUAGGUGGAAAGCUCUCUAUGAGACAUCUUGAUUGUUGAAUGGAAUUCCAUGGGCCUGGUCCACUUUCA
rnacentral:snRNA from 1 species